rnacentral:lncRNA from 1 species
CCACCCUGCACCCCCACCUAUGUGUACCUGGCAGGGCAGCCUCUGCAAGGCUUGUCACCCAAACCACUGGAAGGUGGUGAUUCUGGGCAUUAGUGGGACACGAUCUGCAAAGACUCCCAGGGAAAGGGAAAGUCAGUUCAACAUGCUGAGGGCAGAAUUUGCCUUGGGCUCUCUUCUGCAUCAAUUUGUGGAGACCUACCUCAUUUGGUGUCAGCUGAUCUACAGCCUCUAGUUUUUGUGAGGACAGGAUGAGUCCAGGGACCGAGCUGCUGCCUGUGGCCCUUCCAGUGCUGUGCGUCUGGAAUGGAAGCCCUCUGAUGAGCAUACGUUCUCUCCCUCACCCACCUUUUUUUUAAUUCCCCUUGCAUCUCUGCCUUCCUAGCUCCCUGGCCAUCCCUCAAACAAGAGAGAACAUGUGAUCAAUUACAAGUGAAUGGAAUUCUUUACUCUCCUGAAAAGCCAUCUAGUUUAUCAAGAGGUGAUCCAGCUCUCUUCCUUUUUAGGGGGAAGAGGACAGGAAAUGAAGAGUUUUCAGUGCUGAUUGCCAAAAAUUGGAGUGCUUAAGAUCAUUGUAGGCUCUGAAGCCAGUCUGCCAGGAUUCAAAUCCCUUCUUGGCCACUAAAUAACUGGAUGAUACUUCUUGACUCUUUUUUCAUCAUAUGCUGAAAAGCACGUCAUUGCACAAGGCCAUGAUGUCACUAGAAACCUACACAAAACUGUGUCUCUCUGGAAGAACUUCUUAAACUCACGAUCUCGGAUAUUGACAAAGUUAGGUGGGUGCCCCAUAGGUCUGAUGUAUUCAAAAUCUGAACGCCAGAAAUUUUUCUGGUAUGCUAGUCACAGAAAAAGCUUACUGAUGUUCCUUAGGCAAUGGCAUCGUUCCUGUAAUUUUUUUCCUUUACAUCAUCAUAGGAGCUCCACAGUGAGGCUGAGGGUUCCUUAGAACAUGGCUGGUCCCGGGGCUCCACAGAGGAGCAGCCGUCGACUCCGAGAGUUGAAAGUGUGUGUGCCGGGAGGUGCACAGUCACAGGCUUUCAAGAAACACCCUGUGCAUAUUUCUGCGGUUUGUGUUACUGUUCAUGGUUGUGUGGGGAGAAGCAGCAUCUGAGGGAAGAAAGGAAGCCAAGUCUUUUGAGUAAAGAGGUCAUGAAGACUAAAAUCUCCUGAGCAUUUUCUCUAGGAAGACUCCCUUUGGAGUAGCUAUUUAUAUCUGCCUGCCCUGCUAUGAUCAACUGCAGUACCUGUUCCAACAGCUUUAGGACUGGGUCCUAACUGGAGUCUAAAACACAGGUAAGCUGCUGAUCCCUUUGCCCCAAACAGUGAUAUAGACUGUGAUACAUGCUUGUCUGAG